rnacentral:rRNA from 1 species
AGCGAACGCUGGCGGCAGGCCUAACACAUGCAAGUCGAACGAACUCUUCGGAGUUAGUGGCGGACGGGUGAGUAACACGUGGGAACGUGCCUUUAGGUUCGGAAUAACUCAGGGAAACUUGUGCUAAUACCGAAUGUGCCCUUCGGGGGAAAGAUUUAUCGCCUUUAGAGCGGCCUGCGUCUGAUUAGCUAGUUGGUGAGGUAAAGGCUCACCAAGGCGACGAUCAGUAGCUGGUCUGAGAGGAUGAUCAGCCACAUUGGGACUGAGACACGGCCCAAACUCCUACGGGAGGCAGCAGUGGGGAAUCUUGCGCAAUGGGCGAAAGCCUGACGCAGCCAUGCCGCGUGAAUGAUGAAGGUCUUAGGAUUGUAAAAUUCUUUCACCGGGGACGAUAAUGACGGUACCCGGAGAAGAAGCCCCGGCUAACUUCGUG